rnacentral:rRNA from 1 species
UGAGGAAUAUUGGUCAAUGGGCGCGAGCCUGAACCAGCCAAGUCGCGUGAGGGAUGACGGCCCUACGGGUUGUAAACCUCUUUUGUCGGGGAGCAAAUUCCGUUACGUGUAACGGAGUCGAGAGUACCCGAAGAAAAAGCAUCGGCUAACUCCGU